rnacentral:rRNA from 1 species
CGAGAGCUACGGCUCGAGUGGCGGACGGGUGAGUAACACGUGGGGGACCUGCCCCUCGGUGGGGGAUACCACCGGGAAACCGGUGCUAAGACCGCAUACGUCCCUGGGCAUAGGGGGCCUGGGGGGAAAUGCGCAAGCAGCCGAGGGAGGGCCCCGCGGCGGAUUAGCUAGUUGGAGGGGUAGAAGCCCACCAAGGCGACGACGGGUAGCCGGCCUGAGAGGGCGACCGGCCACACUGGGACUGAGACACGGCCCAG